UACGUAGGGUGCAAGCGUUAUCCGGAAUUAUUGGGCGUAAAGAGCUCGUAGGCGGUUUGUCGCGUCUGCUGUGAAAACUGGAGGCUCAACCUCCAACCUGCAGUGGGUACGGGCAAACUAGAGUGCGGUAGGGGAGAUUGGAAUUCCUGGUGUAGCGGUGGAAUGCGCAGAUAUCAGGAGGAACACCGGUGGCGAAGGCGGGUCUCUGGGCCGAUACUGACGCUGAGGAGCGAAAGCGUGGGGAGCGAACAGG
rnacentral:rRNA from 1 species